GUUUUUAUAGUGUAAUACAACAUAUAAUCCUUUCAAGAUUAAGAUAAUAGUCUUUUUAAAAAUA
rnacentral:tRNA from 1 species